CAGAACAGCACAGACCUUUCUUUGCCUCUUGACACCGGUGGACUUAAUGUUUGUCUAAAGGAUCAGACUGACCUAGCAGACUUAUCCAGUCUUGGAAAUGAAAAUCAAGAUGCAGAUCCUCAUCAUUUCACCAGUGACAAUACUUCGGAC
rnacentral:sRNA from 1 species